AUGUGCACAGUUUGAUCAGAGAUGACUGCGAGUACAUACUGCUGAACACUGCAUGCUUCCAAGGCUGGAGAAGAAGCCCUGGAGAUCCCCUUGUUAACCACACAGAUGAAAGAUGCAUGUCUGCCUGUCUCCUAAUUCCUCAGAUAGCCUGACAAGUGGAAGAGUGGAUGCAGGGCUUCUCUCCAAGUUAUUAACAGUGCGGGUGAGAGACCAUUGGCUUCAUUUCCCAGACCUGAGUGUCACCCUGAGAGGAGUUCCCAGUGAAGAGACACUUGAUGCUACAGAGCUGGAGACGGAUUGCAGGGAAUAGCAUUAUAUAUACAGAGCCCCUGUAUGGGCUGUGAAAAAAACCAACCCAACCUUCAUUUUGCACUUUGAAAACCUUGACAAGUCAAGAAAUCUUUAGGCCAUGCUCUUGUUAAGACAGCCUUGAAGACAAAAGAAACUAAAGGUAGCAUUUUAUGUUGUA